rnacentral:tRNA from 1 species
GCUGGGGUCGCCUAGUGGUAUGGCGGUGGCCUGCUAAGCCACUUCCCGUAAGGGUUCGUGGGUUCGAAUCCCACCCCCAGCG